GCAGCCAUUGACAGCUCUGGGAAACUGGGCAGCCUCUGAACACUCGGUGAUUGAUCCUGGCUCUAAUUGAGAUGGCCUUGAAUGAAGAGUGACCGAAUAAAAAAGAUUACUUAUUUCAAAACAGCAACCCAAAUUGUCAGACUGUCAAGAACACUCCGGAUAGGAGUUCGAGAUGGAAUUAAUCCACUUCAUAUUUUGGUGUGGUAGAGGAAACAUCUUGAAAAUAGUCGCCAAUAAGAAAUCAAAAUCUAUCAAAAUAAGUUUUGACAGAACCCAUCAUCUCUGAACACAGAAAUUAAAGAAUGAAAUGGGCUAUGAACUGAAUCUGAACAAUCUAAUUUCACUCUUGCAGUUAAUAUGGAGAGAAAAACCUCAAAACCACGAAUGUUUAAAGGGCAGAAAAAUCAUGUAACAUUCGAGGUUGGAUUCUCUAAAUAGCACCUGUAGUUGGCCAGUUGAAAGCGAUGUUAAAAUCCACUAUGCAGAACGGAAUCUCUCCCAGAAGGAAUUGCGCUCCAGAUGUUCACAGUGUCCUCUUUGAUUGUUAGCUGGUCUUCUGCCUUGCCGAGGGGCCAUCCUGGGCAUGUUACUGCGUUUUCAUAGAUGAAGGCUGGGGGAAAGAGAAGGCCUGAAAUGGCACUGACUUGGGAAGCAAGGCGGCACUGCACUAAGAGACGAAUGUGUGAGUCUUGUUUCCUCACCGGUACCAGAAGCUCAUCUCUCGCUCUGCUCUUGGUCCUGUUCUCAUCUAUUAUUUCCAUCGACAUAAUGAAGCCAUCAUAUCUGCAGCAUCGUUCCUGCCUCUUCUCAGAUUGGGCUGGGUUAGCAGCAAGUGCAGCAAGGGCCGGCUUCAGGUUACAGACUUUACUCUGCCACCUUCUGUUUGCUAGUCUGAACUCUCCAUGAUGAAGUCUCCCUGCGCAGAGGAAUUUCACUGAGCCUUCCUCUGACCCUUUUAUAAAACACCCCAGUAUUUAUAAUUACAUUUAAAAGAAACUCCGAAAUUGGAGUUUAUUU
rnacentral:sRNA from 1 species